GACCUACACCAUAGCUCACAGCAACGCCGGAUCCUUAACCCACUGAGUGAGGGCAAGGAUCGAACCUGAGUCCUCACAGAUACUAGUCAGGUUCCUUACCACUGCGCCAUGAUGGGAAUUCCUGUCUAGCUUUAUCAGCAGGUGGCAUGCUACUGGAUCCUUCCAAAGAAAAUUAUAAUCUAUGGGAUACAUUUUACAGUAGAAUUAAAGGUACUAAUAUAUUACUAUAUGAAGUUGGAUAAAUAAAAGAUGAAUGCUGUCUGUGGCACUGAAAAGGACACUUCAGAGAGUAAAAAUCUGAGAUGAUAAGACUGAUUUAAAGCAUUAGCUCUACUCCCAAAUGCUUAUAUUCUAAGAACUUUCCACUCUAUUCAUGAUAGCUACCCUCAUGCUUCAUAAAACUUCACCUUCCAUGAUUGAUCCAGCAUGCUAGAUCAUUUUUGCAAAACAUUCACCUCUUUUAAAAUGGACUGAAAUUGAUACAUCAAACAGUUAUUGUCAACUAUUUAGAUAAUUCUCAUACUAAUUAGAGAUCUACUCUACCCUGCUCCUGAGAAAUAAUUGUAUAUUAAAUCAUUUUUUUGAUAUCUAUGUGGAUCAAUCUUUCACCUUUGUUUUCCAAGUUUAUUUUAGGACUUUAUGUUAGCCCAUUUUCAAAUUCUUUCUUGUAUUUAAUUUUUAAAAUAUAUCUAUCAGUUUGAAAAUUUGAAAACAAGGAAGAAUAAGGGAAAUGAUGCACAUCUUCUUCUUAGAAAAAUAAUGCAUUUGGCCUGUGUGAUCUAUGAGGUGAUUUCCAGUUAUAGACAUCUACAUAUUCACCCAUCCUUUCACCUUUCUGGCACACUAUCAGUAAUAGCAACAGUAAUGAAUGAUAAUAAUAGUAUUAACAAUAGCAGAGGACAUUUAUUGAGUACUUAUGUCCUAGAAACUCUGUGAAAUCUUUUAAAUGCCUUACCUCAUUUAUUUCUUUCAACAGUCUUUUCAGUGGUGGUGGGUAUAAAUGUCCCCAUUUAAGAGAAGAGGUAUUUGAGGCUCAGAAAAAUCAUACCUUGUUCAAUGUUAAUACUAGUGAGUGGUAGAACCAAGAACUGGAUUCUGAUUACAGUCUCCUGCCAGAGUCUGUUUCUCUAUUUUGGUGGCCAGGUUGGUCUAGGAUAUUUUAUUUAUUUAUUUAUUUAUUUAUUUAUUGCUUUUUAGGGCCACACUUGUGGCAUAUAUAAGUUUCCAGUCUAGGGGUUGAAUCAGACCUGUAGUUGCUGGCCACAGCCACAGCAAUGGAAGAUGUUAGAGAGGUCUGUGACCUUCACCACAGCUCAUAGCAACACUGGAUCCUUAACCCCACUGAGCAAAGCCAGGGAUUGAACCUGCAUUCUCAUGGAUACUAGUUGGGUUUGUAACCUGCUGAGCCACAAUGGGAACUCCUAGGCUAUUUUGUUCUUUACUUUAGAUAUAUUAUUUCAUUUAGACUGGCUUCUCAAUCUUCCAGUUCUCAAAUCUAUGUUUUCAUGACAUCCUAUGAUACAACUUCUAUUUUCUCAGGAUUUGUUUUCUGGACAACUGCUUUUUCCCUCUGUUAUAGAGCAGAAGAUUUAAAAAAUAACCUAAAAAGAAAAAAAAUACCCCAAUACUUCUUAAGAGCUGAAUAACUAUGGACACAGAGGCACAAUUAUUUACCACUGUUACAGUAAAAGUAUAAAAUAUUCUGUACCUUUAAUAAGUCCUUUUUCUUGCAGAGUUUUCAGAGAAGGUCUUCGAGUAAUAAACUUCUUUAAUCUGCUUUUAACUCGGUUUUUGUCGCUUGUAUCAGAAGCACUAUGAUGAAGUCUGAACACUGAAGAUUAAAAAAAAGGCAUAGGGGUAAAAAUUUGCCCACAUGAAAAUAUUAGCUCUACUGCAACAUGAAUGUGUAAUGAGAAUGUGGUUUGCUCCAUAUAUUCAAAAUUUAUUUUCACAUUCAUUCUCUCAUAUUUACCCUGAUAACCUUGAAUCUGGAUAAUUCCAUGUAAUUAUAUCUAUACACAAAAUUGUAGAUAUGAAAAAUUCACCUAAAUUGGGGGGAAAAGCUCUUGUUAAUUUUAAUUAAUUAUGAUUAUAUAUGAUUGUUGGAAAUUUAGUCAUCUCUAAAGGUCCUACUUGCCCUAAUAUCCUUUUUUUUAUAGCUUUUAUUUUUAUUUUAUUGAUUUAUUGAUUUUUGCUUUUUUAGGACCACUCCCAUGGCAUAUGGAUAUUCUCAGGCUAGGGAGUAGAAUCAGAGCUACAGCUGUCAGUUUACACCACAGCCACAACAACAUGGGAUACCCUAUACAUUGAGCUAGGCUGGGGAUCAAACCCAUAUUCUUGUGGAUACUAGUCAGAUUAGUUUCCACUGUGCCACAACCAGAACUCCUACCCCAAUAAUUCUGCCUAUCUUCUUUAUUAGGUUAACCCAAAGUAAUUUCUUUUUUAUAAAGCAGAUAUUUCCUAUUCUUCUUAAUGGUGUGAAAUUAUCUUUAGUUGAAAUUCUGUAAUACAUAUUGCCUCAAAGUUUUUCCAUGUCUUCAUCAGUCCCCCAUCCUCAGCUUCCUAGCCUCACUGUUAUUUUCAAACUUAGGUGUGUGCCAAAUUCAUUUCCUAGGCAAAUAUAUUGAAAGUCUACUGAUUAUCACGGUUCCACGCUAAAGCUUAUGAAUUUCGUGAUGAACAUAACACUUAAGGUCCAUCCCUUUAUUUAGUAUGGAGUCUAAAUAGAUUCAAGAUAUGUUAUUAUCAAUUACUUUAUUAACAGACUUAUUAAUAAUGUUUCUUAUUCAUAAUUCAUAAAAUGAUAGGAGUUUAUUAUCUCUAUGACAAGAUACAUAUCUUAGCUGGGCCCUUGGCAGUUUUAACCCAAUAUUGAUGGGUUAACUCAAUAACCCAGUUAUUGAUGUCAUGUGACGAUUUGGGGCACUUGAGUAGGUUGCCCUGUG
ensembl:lncRNA